AACGUAGGGGACAAGCGUUAUCCGGAUUUACUGGGCGUAAAGCGCCCGUAGGCGGCCUGACAAGUUGGACGUGAAAGCUCCUGGCUUAACUGGGAGAGGCCGUUCAGAACUGUCAAGCUAGAGUCUGGAAGAGGAGAGCGGAAUUCCCGGUGUAGUGGUGGAAUGCGUAGAGAUCGGGAGGAACACCAGUGGCGAAAGCGGCUCUCUGGUCCAAAACUGACGCUGAGGGGCGAAAGCGUGGGGAGCGAACGGG
rnacentral:rRNA from 1 species